AAUGAACGUUGGCGGCGUGGAUUAGGCAUGCAAGUCGUGCGGGAGUAGCAAUACUCCAGCGGCGAAAGGGAUAGUAACACGUAGGUACCUACCCUCGGGUUCGGGAUAGCUUCGGGAAACUGAAGGUAAUACCGGAUAACGUCUCCGGACCAAAGGUGUGAUUCCGCCCGGGGAGGGCCUGCGUCCUAUUAGCUAGUUGGUGAGGUAACGGCCCACCAAGGCAACGAUGGGUAGCGGGUGUGAGAGCACGACCCGCAUCACUGGGACUGAGACACUGCCCAGACACCUACGGGAGGCAG
rnacentral:rRNA from 1 species